rnacentral:tRNA from 1 species
GCCCCGGUGGCACAAUCGGUUAGCGCGUCGUACUUAUAAUGCGGAGGUUGUGAGUUCGAGCCUCACCCGGGGCA